ensembl:lncRNA
UUAAAAUGCUGCGUAAAACAAAGUUUGACGAUUCGUAACAUCAAUCGUGCUCUUGCCCAUAUAUACUGCUAAUUUUAAUGUUACCCAAUAUCCACUGUCUGAUUCUCACAAGGAUUAUACAACCCCAAAAUCUGCCAAGAAGCAGGGUUGAUCCAAGCUCUCUGACCUCACAAAAUAUAAUACUUUUGUCUCACACCCAAGCUAACUGGCUAAAGUUGGCUAGCUAACGCUACUUCUAGAAACAAACAAGAGAAUACAUCCUCACUCUCCAUUCUACUCAUCUAGCAAUGCUGGUUAGGCUUUUUUCAUGUUAUUCAAAAGUUGGUGACUACCCUGUGCUGCUGGCAAUAAUUCAAAUUACGUUAUUUCCCUAACAUUUACUGACAAGGAUAAAUUCAACCAGUCGUAUUCUGCGCUCUGGUACAUUCAAACCAGUGCUCUGAAAUCAGAACAAAAUAGCCAGAGCGAAUUUAUAAAGCACCCCAUUUAACAAUUUCCAUUGAGAACGCACAACGACUAUGCCAUUUAGCCAAGCAUGACGUGAAUAGUCAAUAUACUAGCAAGUUCGAUUCAUAAGGAUAGCGCAACCAACAAAUGUCAUAAUUAGUUAAAACAAAUCAUUUGUAUCUUAAGACCAAUAAGCAUACUACAUACUCAAAUGACUUCAAAGUAUGAUUACGCUAAUAGAAUGCUAACAUCAACACGCUGGUGUAUUGAAUUAAUGAUGAUUCUUUUAUGUCAUUGUGUCAAGUCACAAAUACAUCCCUGCAUUCUCAAAGAUUGGAAUUUACCUUUCAGCAGGGUCACAUUUUAUCUAUGAUUAGAUUGAGAUCUUACGAGACAAAAAGGAAAAUGUUAAUUUAAGAAUAAAACAGAGACAGACAGAACCCCAUUCCCCUCUUUAUUUCAGGAUUGUAAUGUGAUUAAUCAACAUUGACACGUGAUGUUUAACUGUAUUUUGUAUACAUAAUUUGCUAACAUAGGUAGCCCUAUAGAUAUGGCAUAUAGGAUAUACUCUUAGUCUCGUGGCAUUCAAUGGGACCUUUUCAUUUGCAAACAAGCUUUCACAGCUUUCCAUAUCUGAGGAUAGAAAACAAAUAGGCUUCAUUAUACUCAUUAGACAGCACUGAAUAUUAUGUUGCUAGUAUCUCUCAAAGUUUUCCCCUCUAGGGAUUGGAACUGGAGAAUCUUUUCAUGUCUUCCCACAAAAUGACCUGCCCUAUCCAGUAGCCUACAUUCUCCCUUUACUGACAGCUGGAGCGCAAUUUCACCCUCUUCCAUGGCUGUUAUCUACAAAUGAAUUUGGAUAGGUAGCUAAUAAAGUUAGCUCGCUGAUGGCAUUUCAUUCACUUGGCUAAACAGUGUGUAACGUUAGCCUACAAAGUGGUCUACUGUAGCCAGAUAAUAGGUUUCUUUUUACAUAAAAAUGGAUUUAAUUACUUGAAUAGCACAAUCCUUCAGAGAUUGGACAGUUUUCCAGAAUUUGGCCGGAUUCCCCUUACCAUUGUGGGAGCAAGAUGUACAUAUUAGGGAGAAACAUAAUACUGUACCACAAGAGAAAGAUACACUUAGAGUGCAUUUGCCAUUCUGGUAAAAUGCAUUGUCUAUUGUAUAGGAGAGAACCAAAGUAAGGCCAGAGCAUAGGACAGCUGGACAUACCAAGGUCAGAGGGACACACAAAGGAGGGGGUCAGCCAAAUGACCAACGGAUGGACUAUAGACAUAGGGCAUAUAUUUUUAGGACAUGAAGAGAAGAGACACAGUCUACUAGUCCUAAUAAGGACAGACAUACCAAAUAACACACCAAGCUGAACUUAAGGGGCCCAUAGGAUAAGAUGGGCAUGUAUUAUUUUUGGGACAUGAAGAGGUCCUGUCACCAUUAUAACUUAACUGAAAGCAGAUAUGGGCGUUAUCGUGAGUGAACAAGCAGGAUGCACAGAUUGGGGUAUAAUGGUGGCAGAUGGACUGAGGGAAGUAACUUCAUUUGCAUGUGGGAUGGACUCAUAUGUUGUAUGUGUAUAAAAACAGAGCCAGAGCUCUGGAAAAGUGUGUGUUCCACAGACCAUCUAGGCUUCUGAUAUGUUUGUAUUAAAAGCCUAUAUUGAAUUCACAAGUUCUUGUAAGUGUUAUAUUUUGUAACGA